rnacentral:snRNA from 1 species
AGGUUUACACAGUGGCCGUAUUGUAGCCAAUGUGAGGUAUAUCCAAGGCAUGAUUAUUGCUAAUUGAAAACUUUGCCCACA